AUCUCAGCUGUGUUCUAACCACUAGGACGUUGGACAAAACUUGUGGGCAGACUAACGUUAACAUGGGCCCGCAUUUUCGAACUCUCGGUGUGGUCGCUGGGAUGGGACCUUUUCAAGUGACAGAAAAGAUUGGUUGUUUCCUGUCUUGGUCGACACCGACCGACGGCAUAUUUUGCAGACCACGUUAAUCUGCGCUUCGUCACUUUUGAGAUAUCCAAACCACUUCCAUAUAAUUGAUGUUGUGUUACCUUUUUUGUCAACAAUUUCCUCAGCUUUGGAGGAUAACGCAAGUUCACUUUCACCGUUGCUUUCGUGCCCAUGCCCCUCGGUUCCACUCAUUUCUUCCAUUUUCUUCAACAGCGGUAGCUCCAACAAUGCUCUGCGUAGGAAAUGGGCGUGUACUUUGACAUGCAAGCCAAAAAGUUCUUCUUCUUCUACUAUUGACGUUUUUUGGCAAUUGGCAAACAACUUUUGGUGCGCAUUACCGCCACCUUCUGAAAUGCAAUGGAGUUUAUUUCUGCUGUGUGAUAGACAGUUCUAUCUAUCUAUCCAUAUCGAGUAAAAUAUGUCCAAAGUUAAUCAUCGUUAUCGACCUGAAUUUUAUCGCGAUCCCAUAUGGAGAUCAUUUUAUC